CCUAGACCACCUAGGCUCUACAAAAAUAAAGCUUUCGAUGGCCGGGUGUUACCUUUCCUCGUCAGUUUCAAUCUAGCGUCGUAUCCCAGUACAUGAUAAAUAAGCCGGCAUGAAGAUGUUAUUGUUACAGAUCAGCUGAAUUAUCUAUUGCAACGGAUCCUACAAAUUAAUGUAUGGUGUAAGACGCAAGAUAUUUUAUAUCCUAACCCCGC
rnacentral:lncRNA from 1 species